rnacentral:rRNA from 1 species
GUUAGGAAUAUUGGACAAUGGACGCAAGUCUGAUCCAGCCAUGCCGCGUGAGUGAUGAAGGCCUUCGGGUUGUAAAGCUCUUUAGCCGAUGAUUAUAAUGACUGUAGUCGGAAAAUAAGCCCCGGCUAACUUCGUGCCAGCAGCCGCAGUAAUACGAAGGGGGCGAGCGUUAUUCGGAAUCACUGGGCGUAAAGCGUGCGUAGGCGGUUUUGUAAGUUGGGAGUGAAAGCCCAGGGCUCAACCCUGGAAUUGCUCUCAAAACUACAAGACUUGAAUUCGGGAGAGGAUAGCGGAAUUGUCAGUGUAGCAGUGAAAUGCGUAGAUAUUGACAGGAACACCAGUGGCGUAAGCGGCUAUCUGGACCGACAUUGACGCUGAGGCACGAAAGCGUGGGGAUCAAACAGGAUUAGAAACCCUUGUAGUCC